rnacentral:lncRNA from 1 species
AGAGAAGAGAGGCUCAAACUGAAAUCUGAGGAGCCUCAGCAUUCAGAACUCAACUGGGCGCUGUGGCUCAAGCCUGCAAUCCCAGCACUUUGGGAGGAUGAGGCAGGCAGAACACCUGAGGUUAGAAGUUUGAGGCCAACAUGGCCAAACUUCGUCUCUACUGAAAAUAUAAAAAUUAGCUGUGUGUGGUGGUGAGUGCCUGUAAUCCCAGCUACUCAGGAGGCUGAGGCAGAAGAGUCUAUUGAACCUGGAAGGCGAAGGUUGCAGUGAGCUGAGAUCACACCACUGCCCUCCAGCCUGGGCAACAGAGCAAGACUCCAUAUCAGAAAAAAAAAAAAAGAAAGAAAGAAAAAGAAAAUAACUCAAUGGAGCACAAGCAGCUGAGUAAUGCCCCAGGAAGCCGGCGUCAUUGUUGGACAGCUCAGAUGUUCAGGAUGUUUCAUUUUGAACCUACCUCAUUGGAAUUUCAAAAUAUUAGCCUCUUUGGAGCAAUACGGAGCAAGUCUGUUCCUUCAAGUAGAUGAAAAGUUCCCUGCAUGCCUUCCAUUGGACUUCUCCCCUUUAGCUUAAAAAUAGCCACAGUCCUGAAACAUGUCUCAGAAGCAGAUGUCACCCAAACCCUACUCUUCCAACUCAGCCAGCCAGCCACAUGCACGACCCCAAAGCAAAGAAGAGGCAGCGACCUGAGAAGCUACAUAUUGACUUGGCGCUACCACGGGUGUAGGAGCCUGCAUUGCUGAAUCACAGGAUGAAGGCGAAUCCCUGCCAGCCUCCAUCCGUCUCCAGGUACAGCAUAGACCGGUGACACUUUGAGAAUUUUAAUGUUAUUACUUGAAGUGACCUGAGGCUUCCUCCGAAUUGGAGAAUGACUGCUUGGUUGUCAAUUUAAUUGCUGGUGAGAUUGUUAGUUUUUUGAGUAGAGGUCAGGAAUAACACUGGAAGAGAAUAUAUUUUCCCAACUCCUCCUAUAAAUGCACCAUCCAAUUAAAGAAAGCUGAGAUAACAUUACUUCAAAGCACUUUCAAAUAAAUGAUGUCAAAUUUUGC